AGUGUAGGCGGCAAUGUAAGUCGGAUGUGAAAGCCCUGGGCUCAACCUGGGAAUUGCAUUCGAUACUGCAUAGCUUGAAUCAGACAGAGGGAUGUGGAAUUCCGGGUGUAGCGGUGAAAUGCGUAGAUAUCCGGAGGAACACCAGUGGCGAAGGCGGCAUCCUGGGUCUAGAUUGACGCUGAGGCACGAAAGCGUGGGGAGCGAACAGGAUUAGAUACCCUGGUAGUCC
rnacentral:rRNA from 1 species